UGGACAGACUGGCUCUGAGGCACCAUGACUGGCAGACAGACUUCUACGAGGACACAGCAAGAUAAGAGCUUCUGGUUCAUGUUGGUGUUCAGUCUCCUGAUACAUUGUGGCACUGAAGGUUGCUCCGGUCUCCCUCCUCUCUCCCUCUCCCCCUCCUCAGGAGGUCCACCUGCGGACCAUGGGGCCAUGCUGU